AGUGAACGCUGGCGGUAGGCCUAACACAUGCAAGUCGAACGGCAGCACAGUAAGAGCUUGCUCUUACGGGUGGCGAGUGGCGGACGGGUGAGGAAUACAUCGGAAUCUACUUUUUCGUGGGGGAUAACGUAGGGAAACUUACGCUAAUACCGCAUACGACCUACGGGUGAAAGCAGUGGAUCUUCGCACCUUGCGCGAUUGAAUGAGCCGAUGUCGGAUUAGCUAGUUGGCUGGGUAAAGGCCCACCAAGGCGACGAUCCGUAGCUGGUCUGAGAGGAUGGUCAGCCACACUGGAGCUGAGACGCGGUCCAGACGACUGCGGUAGGCAGCAGUCGGGAAUCCUGGACAAUGGGCGCGAGCCUGAUACAGCCAUACCGCGUGGGUGGCGAAGGCCUUCGGGUUGGAAAGCCCUUUUGUUGGGAAAGAAAAGCAGCCGGUUAACACCCCGCGGGACUGACGGUACCCAGUAAAUAAGCACCGGCUAACUUCGUG
rnacentral:rRNA from 1 species